UACGUAGGGGGCUAGCGUUGUCCGGAUUUAUUGGGCGUAAAGAGCGUGUAGGCGGCCAGGUAGGUCUGCUGUGAAAACUCGAGGCUCAACCUCGAGAUGUCGGCGGAAACCAUCUGGCUAGAGUCCGGAAGAGGAGAGUGGAAUUCCUGGCGUAGCGGUGAAAUGCGCAGAUAUCAGGAAGAACACCCGUGGCGAAGGCGGCUCUCUGGGACGGUACUGACGCUGAGACGCGAAAGCGUGGGGAGCAAACGGG
rnacentral:rRNA from 1 species